rnacentral:rRNA from 1 species
UACAGAGGGGGCAAGCGUUAUUCGGAAUUAUUGGGCGUAAAGGGCGCGUAGGCGGCUUGGCAAGUGGAUGGUGAAAUCCCUCGGCUUAACCGAGGGACUGCCGUCCAAACUGCUUCGCUUGAGACCGGGAGAGGUGAGUGGAAUUCCCAGUGUAGCGGUGAAAUGCGUAGAUAUUGGGAGGAACACCAGUGGCGAAGGCGGCUCACUGGACCGGUACUGACGCUGAUGCGCGAAAGCGUGGGGAGCAAACGGG